UACCAUUUCUGACCUGAUGUCCUACUUC
rnacentral:sRNA from 1 species